UACGUAGGGUGCAAGCGUUGUCCGGAAUUAUUGGGCGUAAAGAGCUCGUAGGCGGUCUGUUGCGUCGGCUGUGAAAACCCGGGGCUCAACCCCGGGCCUGCAGCCGAUACGGGCAGACUAGAGUUCGGCAGGGGGAGACUGGAAUUCCUGGUGUAGCGGUGGAAUGCGCAGAUAUCAGGAGGAACACCGGUGGCGAAGGCGGGGUCUCUGGGCAGUAACUGACGCUGAGGAGCGAAAAGCGUGGGGAGCGAACAGG
rnacentral:rRNA from 1 species